UCAUCACUUCCUCACUAAUGCAAUCAACCUUUUUUAUUGUUCUCAUCAAUAGUACUAUCUCCUAUAAUGGAGAACCGAUCCAUCCAGGCUAGCCAGUAAAAUUUAGCUAGGAUUAUGAAUGAAUCCUACCAAAAUUUUACUGGCUGCCUUGGGUGGAUCAGUUCUCUACAGUAGCAGAUAGAACUAUUGACAUUCAACAACAAUCGAAUAAAUUCAGUGUCCAUUGCCACCCAUUUUUCAAUACAGAAGAUCCUGUGCAAAAAAGUCUAUGCAUAUUGCAGAAUAUAUCAAUCGUCACUCCAGGUAUGAUGAUAACUUCAUGUUUCAAAAUGCCAAGGAUAUCAUUACUGUUAAUCUGUUAUUGCUGAUGGAGCGACAGAGGCUCUUGCUUCAAAGAAAUUGCAAUUGAUGAAUCAACAAUCAACAACAUGAUUGUGGUUCCUUUUUUAUAUUUUUCAAGUGUGUAUUCUUUAUUCUGAAGCAUUACAAGAGCGCUUCAAAAUUAAUAUUAUGUUCAUUCUGGAUCAUUAACG